rnacentral:rRNA from 1 species
UUGAGAGUUUGAUCCUGGCUCAGAACGAACGCUGGCGGCAGGCCUAACACAUGCAAGUCGAAGGAGAAGCUGGACUUCGGUCUGGUGGACACUGGCGCACGGGUGAGUAACGCGUGGGAACCUACCUCAAGGUACGGAACAACCGCUGGAAACGGCGGCUAAUACCGUAUGUGCCCUUCGGGGGAAAGAUUUAUCGCCAUUAGAUGAGCCCGCGUCGGAUUAGCUUGUUGGUGAGGUAAAAGCUCACCAAGGCGACGAUCCGUAGCUGGUCUGAGAGGAUGAUCAGCCACACUGGAACUGAGACACGGUCCAGACUCCUACGGGAGGCAGCAGUGGGGAAUCUUGGACAAUGGGCGAAAGCCUGAUCCAGCCAUUCCGCGUGGAUGACGAAGGCCUUAGGGUUGUAAAAUCCUUUCAGCAGGGAAGAUAAUGACGGUACCUGCAGAAGAAGCCCCGGCUAACUCCGUGCCAGCAGCCGCGGUAAUAC